rnacentral:rRNA from 1 species
AUUGAACGCUGGCGGCAGGCCUAACACAUGCAAGUCGAACGAGUGGCGGACGGGUGAGUAAUGUCUGGGAAACUGCCUGAUGGAGGGGGAUAACUACUGGAAACGGUAGCUAAUACCGCAUACCAUCGGAUGUGCCCAGAUGGGAUUAGCUAGUAGGUGGGGGAACGGCUCACCUAGGCGACGAGCCCUAGCUGGUCUGAGAGGAUAACCAGCCACACUGGAACUGGGCCCCGGUCCAGACUCCAACGGGAGGCAGGAGUGGGGAAUAUUGCACAAUGUGCGCAAGCCUGAGGCAGCCAGGCCGCGUGUAUGAAGAAGGCCUUCGGGUUGUAAAGUACUUUCAGCGGGGCGGCGUUACCCGCAGAAGAAGCACCGGCUAACUCCGUGCCAGCAGCCGCGGUAAUUC